GAUCGCUUGCCCAGUUGGUUAAGGCAUCGUGCUAAUAUCGCAGGGAUCAGCGAUUCGACUCCGCUAAAGAUCA